rnacentral:misc_RNA from 1 species
CUCUCUCUCUCUCUCUCUCUCUAUGAAUCCAGUCUAUCUGAAUCCACCCACCUCUUCUCCUUUUCCACUUGUGGGUGUUAGAGAAGAUCAGCAACACCUGCAUCUCUUCCGCACACCCCAUCAUGCAGCUGCUUCUCUCUCUUCAGGUCCUGCUUCUUUUGACACAACUACUACUCAUGAUCACGAUCAAAGACGAGCCCAACUCGGGGAGUCUCGUCGGCAUGAUCAGGAGGCAAGAACACUUUGGAAAAUGUCAAAAUUUCAUGCUUUUAUUUUGUUAUUACAGUUAAUUAGUUUUGAUAGAUAUAUAUGUGAUCCUCUAUUGCAUGAUCAUAUACAAUGUUUGUUUUACUUAAUUAAUUAAUUUGAGAAACAACUUGGUUUAGUCUUUAAUUUGAUCUUAAUUUCCUUAAAUUGUUUCAAAUAAUAACCUAUUCCUAUAAUCAUAGUUUUUAUUUCUCUGAUAUGUGUAUGCGCGCGGAUGCUUAUAUAUAAUAAUUAAAUAGAUAAAUAAAGAGACUUUUAUAUGAUCAUCUGCUGGAUUAAUAACCUUGUAAUUUGGUUUUAAUGAUAGGAUGAUAAGUACAUAUCACACAGCAGAUGGAGUGAUCAUUUUCAUAAACCCCUGUCAUUUCAAGCUGCAGCGGUAAAUGAACGUAGCAGCAGGGAAGCCCACAAAUUGUCCUCAUGCAACAGAGAGAAUGGAGAUUUUGAUGGAAGUGGUGGUGAUGGAUCUGCAGCCAAAUAUAUGCCCUCGAAGAUGAGGUUGACACAAAAAAUGAUGAACUCUAAUUGCUCAGAGACUGAUAAACCAGUAAAAUUCACACUCAAAUUUCAAGAUCAGCAAUGUCAUACUAACAAUAACUAUAUCAAUGUUAGAGUAUGCGCAGACUGCAGCACUACCACCACCCCUCUUUGGAGGAGUGGCCCUUUGGGGCCUAAGGUUAUUUUUCUUUUACAUUAAAUUCUACAGAUACAAAAUUAUAUAAGAUAAUAGCUUAUACCUCAGUGAUUGAGUGUUAUCUUAUAGUGAAUAUGUUGAUGCAGUCCCUUUGCAAUGCCUGCGGGAUUCGACAGAGAAAGGCCAGACGGACAAUGGAGGCAGCAGCUGCAGUGGCAAAUGGCACGGUUAUUUCUAUGGAGACAUCAUCAUCAUCAUCAUCAUCAU